rnacentral:RNase_P_RNA from 2 species
CUCACCCUGAGCCCGGCACAACCUGUUUACAAAAAGCCCUAGAGGCCACAAACUGCAGGUGGGAAAUUCGGUGGAACACAGCAGACGGGUCAUCGGGCAACCCUGUUCGAUGACCGACGCAACCCUAUCUGUGAAGACGCUGGCGGAAUCCAGUGAGCGUCCAAGCUGCCAGUAGAAAAUAGCCGCCUAGGUGGCAUGGGAGUGCAGCGGGCCGUCUGCUUGGCGCACGGCUCUUGUGAGACUUGUGUGGCCUGUUGAGUGCAAUUGCCAGGGUCCUUCCGUGGGACAACGCGAUACCGAUUACUCAGGAUGUG